rnacentral:rRNA from 1 species
AUGUUUUGGCACAAAGAGCCAGACAUCAAGUACUACGUGUGCACAAUCAACAGGACAUUUGCCAAACCAGGCCAGCGCAUGGUUAACUAUACUGAAGAGAACUUGCAGGACUACAUUGAUCCAAACAAUGAUACACUCAUGGUCAUACUUGCAGACCGCCAUCUGCUCGCCGAAUGUUGCAUCAUGCUAGGAAUGGACAAAAGGGCCACUAUAACCACCAACUGGCCUGAGUUUUGUCGCCGCGCCAACAUUCGCGAGGGAGACAUAUGUGCAUUUCGUUUCAGGAUAACUUCAAAGCGCCGCCUGGUCCUCACCGUGCACUACCUCUAG